rnacentral:rRNA from 1 species
UGGGGAAUAUUGGACAAUGGGGGGAACCCUGAUCCAGCCAUGCCGCGUGUGUGAAGAAGGCCUUAUGGUUGUAAAGCACUUUAAGCGAGGAGGAGGCUCUCUUGGUUGAUACCCAAGAUGAGUGGACGUUACUCGCAGAAUAAGCACCGGCUAACUCUGUGCCAGCAGCCGCGGUAAUACAGAGGGUGCAAGCGUUAAUCGGAUUUACUGGGCGUAAAGCGUGCGUAGGUGGCCAAUUAAGUCAAAUGUGAAAUCCCCGAGCUUAACUUGGGAAUUGCAUUCGAUACUGGUUGGCUAGAGUAUGGGAGAGGAUGGUAGAAUUCCAGGUGUAGCGGUGAAAUGCGUAGAGAUCUGGAGGAAUACCGAUGGCGAAGGCAGCCAUCUGGCCUAAUACUGACACUGAGGUACGAAAGCAUGGGGAGCAAACA